rfam:Equus caballus chromosome 16, whole genome shotgun sequence.
GUCGUUCACCUCAGCCUAUGCAACUGAUCUCAUCUGGUUUUGGAAGCUAAGCAAGAUUGGGCCUGGUUAGUACUUGGAUGAGAGAGCACCUGAGAAAACUGGGUGUUAUAGGCU